UAGGACGGUGACGACGACCGCCGAGCACCGCCUGAACGGGCAGGAGAGCCAACCUCGGCGGAAGUCGUGACACAAGGACUGUGAGCUCUCAUUCUCCAUGGUCGAACUGGUUGGACUGGAGGAUGGUACGGUGCUGGUGGAAAGCUAUGGUUGGCAACAACACCUGACUCUGUACUUCAGGCCGCUGCCACAGAUCAAGUAGUACCAGUAAUUCAGCUUCGACGCUCUGGACCCUAGUGUUGUUGUCGCCAAGGAGGGUUUGUACUCAGUCGGGACCAAGUUUCAGCUGCUGCGUAACGCUGACAUCCUUCCUCCCAUAGAUGGUCUGCCUGUACAAUACAAGCACUGACUGGACACAGACAAGUUUAUCUAUCUUUUUGAGAAGAUCAGGGAGCUUAUGCAACAAAGAGGCUCUGGACAUCACAUGCCCUGCACCAAAGUCAAGGGCAGGACAGAAACCGGCUCUCCGAAUAUAGAUUCCAUUGUUCAUGCGUGGUUCAGACGGACCAGUUGAUCACUGGGGGCGAGUCCCAGUCAUCACCACUAUCUGCAGUGCCUCUAUUCACAUGCCUCUCUCCUAACACACACACACACCAUACGUUGCUGCUACUAUUUUAUUUUAUCCCACUGCUCAGCCACUUUACCCCUGAUUGUAUGCAUACAACUACCUUAUCUAUCACUGAUAUCAUUAUUGAUAUUGUCCAUACUGUAUAUUUGAUUUAUAUUGACACUAUCUAUUUCUGAUAUUGCUACUGUGCAAGUAACCAUUUGGCUGUACCGUUUACACCUUCUGUAGAGACCCAUCCACUUAGCAAGAUGUGGCUGGGGAUUAUAACUUUCUUUCACGUAACCCAUCAAUAUAGAAAAAUGUGUCUGGGUAAGCAUCAUUUAAUAUAUUUUUAUCUGGGCACUUUGUUUACCUGGAAUUUUUCCUUAUUGUAGGCUACUACUUUUAACACUUCCAGUCUUAAUCUUUACUACAAGACUCACUGUUUAGCACAUGACCUCACAUGUGAAUCCUUAAAGAGACAGGAGGGGCUGGCUUAAGAGGGUGUGAACAAUGCUGAAUGGGUGUAGACAUAGGAGAGCUCUCCAGUACUAGUACCAAAACACUUGUACCCCGGACAUUGACUCAGUACCCCAUGUAUAUAGCCUCGUUAUUAUGUAAAUUCAUUGUUACUUUUUGAUUAUAAAAAAAAUAAAAAUAAUAAUGUUUUAUUUGGUA